rnacentral:rRNA from 1 species
UAAGCAUAUCAAUAAGCGGAGGAAAAGAAACUAACAAGGAUUCCCCUAGUAACUGCGAGUGAAGCGGGAAGAGCUCAAAUUUAAAAUCUGGCGUCUUCGGCGUCCGAGUUGUAAUUUAGAGAAGCGUUUUCCGUGUCGGACCGUGUACAAGUCUCCUGGAACGGAGCGUCAUAGAGGGUGAGAAUCCCGUCUUUGACACGGACCCCCGAUGCUUUGUGAUACGCUCUCGAAGAGUCGAGUUGUUUGGGAAUGCAGCUCAAAAUGGGUGGUGAACUCCAUCUAAAGCUAAAUAUUGGCGAGAGACCGAUAGCGAACAAGUACCGUGAGGGAAAGAUGAAAAGCACUUUGGAAAGAGAGUGAAACAGUACGUGAAAUUGUUGAAAGGGAAACGCUUGAAGUCAGUCGCGUCCGUCGGGAUUCAGCCCUCGUGGUGUACUUCCUGAUGGACGGGCCAGCAUCACUUUCGAUCAUCGGAAAAGGGCUAGAGGAAUGUGGCACCUCCGGGUGUGUUAUAGCCUCUGGUCGUAUACGGUGACCGGGAGUGAGGAACGCCUUUGUAGGAUGCUGGCGUAAUGGCUUUAAACGACCCGUCUUGAAACACGGACCAAGGAGUCUAACAUGCCCGCGAGUGUUCGGGUGGAAAACCCGUGCGCGUAAUGAAAGUGAAAGUUGGGAAGGCUGUCGUGGCCUGCACCGACGCCCGGACUUGAGAUUUAUCGAAGGUUCUGCGGUAGAGCGUGUAUGUUGGGACCCGAAAGAUGGUGAACUAUGCCUGAAUAGGGUGAAGCCAGAGGAAACUCUGGUGGAGGCUCGUAGCGAUUCUGACGUGCAAAUCGAUCGUCAAAUUUGGGUAUA